rnacentral:rRNA from 1 species
GAUGACCGCUGGCGGCGUGCCUAAUACAUGCAAGUAGAACGCAGAAGGAAGGAGCUUGCUCUUUCCGGAUGAGUUGCGAACGGGUGAGUAACGCGUAGGUAACCUGCCUGGUAGCGGGGGAUAACUAUUGGAAACGAUAGCUAAUACCGCAUAACAGUAGAUGUUGCAUGAUAUCUACUUAAAAGGUGCAAUUGCACCACUACCAGAUGGACCUGCGUUGUAUUAGCUAGGUGGUGAGGUAACGGCUCAACAAGGCGACGAUACAUAGCCGACCUGAGAGGGUGAUCGGCCACACUGGGACUGAGACACGGCCCAGACUCCUACGGGAGGCAGCAGUAGGGAAUCUUCGGCAAUGGACGGAAGUCUGACCGAGCAACGCCGCGCGAGUGAAGAAGGUUUUCGGAUCGUAAAGCUCUGUUGUAAGAGAAGAACGAGUGUGAGAGUGGAAAGUUCACACUGUGACGGUAUCUUACCAGAAAGGGACGGCUAACUACGUG